rnacentral:rRNA from 1 species
UACGUAGGAGACGAGCGUUGUCCGGAAUUACUGGGCGUAAAGCGCGUGUAGGCGGAUGGGCAAGUCUGCUGUGAAAGCUCCUGGCUUAACCGGGAGUGGUCGGUGGAAACUGCUUAUCUGGAGGACGGUAGAGGCUGGUGGAAUUCCCGGUGUAGUGGUGAAAUGCGUAGAGAUCGGGAGGAACACCUGUGGCGAAGGCGGCCAGCUGGGCCGGACCUGACGCUGAGACGCGAAAGCGUGGGGAGCAAACAGG